rnacentral:rRNA from 1 species
UACGGGGGAUGCAAGCGUUAUCCGGAAUUACUGGGCGUAAAGCGUGCGCAGGCGGCUUCUCAAGUCAGGGGUGAAAGCCCAGAGCUCAACUCUGGAAUUGCCUUUGAGACUGAGUGGCUUGAGUACGAGAGAGGUGAGUGGAAUUCCCAGUGUAGAGGUGAAAUUCGUAGAUAUUGGGAAGAACACCGGUGGCGAAGGCGGCUCACUGGCUCGUAACUGACGCUCAUGCACGACAGCGUGGGGAUCAAACAGG